GCGGAAAUCCCAGGGGUCAUCCGGGCGCGGGGUCACUCGGCCACGCACUGUGGUGCCACGUGGGGGAAAAGUUUCCAACUCUGCCUGUUGGUGCUCCUACUGCGCCCCGGCGGAGCAAAGGCCCGCGCUUUGGCACCCGCUCCCAGUUCUGUCGCCUCCAGUCGCGCCCCCCUCCCAGGGACGCCCCCCUUGUGCCCCUUCUCUGAACACCCUCCCUCGCAGCGCAGGUCCCCAAGGGAAAACACCCUUGGGGGCUGGGGAUUUCCCGAGAAAGCGGCCUCUGGUCGGCCGGGGGUAGGGGAUCCAGGGGCAAGUGUCCCGAGGAGGAGGUGGGGGGCGCGCGCGGAAUGGCCUGGGAACAGGGGCCCGCACGCGUCCGCCCUGAGACAUGCCGGAUCCUCCGGCGGCUUCCACGCCCUCGCGCGCCAACUGUGCCCGGCCGCGGCCGACCCCACUCGGGCGGCCCCCUCCACGGACAGCCCCCUCCACGCCCCCGCCCACCUCGAGGCUCCCCACCGCCCCCAGUGCGCAGGCCCGGCCGCCCCAGCGCGCAUGCCCUGGGCUCGCGAGCGCGGCCAGCCCCCAGCCUUUUGCUUUCUACACACUCUACAACUGGGGAGGGGGCGGGGGAGGAGGGAGCCCAGCCGUCCACGUGAUCCCGCCGGCCGGGGCCGCGGGGGCGGGAGCGCGCGCCGAGUGAGGCGCGGGGAGGGCGGGUGCGCGGGAGCGCGCGCACACGAGCGAACGAAUGCACGAGCGAGCUGGCGGGCGCUGGGCUGGGCUGAGGCGGGCGGCGGCGGUGGGCCGGCUGCGGAGGGGGAGGAGCGGGUGCUGCGCGCGGCUGGCGGGCGGGCGGAGGAUGGGGCAGUGCCCGGGCUCCCGCUGCAGCCGCCCGGGGACACGCCGUGCACCCUCCAGCUCGGGGCUUUCGCGGCGGCGGCGGCGGCAGCGUUAGCGGCGACGGCGAGAGCAGCGUUCCCGGCUGCGCUUCUCCUCAGGCGGGGCGGCGAGAGAAGCGGCGGCGGCGGCGGCGGCGGCACACCGGUGUCUCUCCCGCGGAGAUUUCUUUCUGCUUUCCUCAUCGACUGA
rnacentral:lncRNA from 1 species